AUACAUCGGAACGUGCCCUGUCGUGGGGGAUAACUAGUCGAAAGAUUAGCUAAUACCGCAUACGACCUGAGGGUGAAAGCGGGGGACCGUAAGGCCCCGCGCGAUAGGAGCGGCCGAUGUCUGAUUAGCUAGUUGGUGGGGUAAAGGCCCACCAAGGCGACGAUCAGUAGCUGGUCUGAGAGGACGAUCAGCCACACUGGGACUGAGACACGGCCCAGACUCCUACGGGAGGCAGCAGUGGGGAAUUUUGGACAAUGGGGGCAACCCUGAUCCAGCAAUGCCGCGUGUGUGAAGAAGGCCUUCGGGUUGUAAAGCACUUUUGUCCGGAAAGAAAUCCCUUGCCCUAAUACGGCGGGGGGAUGACGGUACCGGAAGAAUAAGCACCGGCUAACUACGUGCCAGCAGCCGCGGUAAUACGUAGGGUGCGAGCGUUAAUCGGAAUUACUGGGCGUAAAGCGCGCGCAGGCGGUUUUGUAAGACAGGCGUGAAAUCCCCGAGCUCAACUUGGGAAUGGCGCUUGUGACUGCAAGGCUAGAGUAUGUC
rnacentral:rRNA from 1 species